UAUGUAUGUAUGUAUGUAUGCACAUGUAUGUAUGUACGUGUAUCAGUGUCGAUGUGUCAUUGUUUGUAGUGUGUGUGUGCGUGUGUGUGUGUACGUGCGUGUGUGUGUGCGCAUGAACCUGUAUUAGUGUUAUGACUUUUCAUUUGUGUAUGUGUGUGUGGUGUUUUCUGUACGAUUAUACGUGUUAAGUAGCUACUACGUUUGUGUGUGUAUGCGUGUAUGUGUUAUCUGAUGAGAGUGAGGUGGGAGCGUGAGAGCGUGUAUGCGUGUGUGCAUAUCUGUGCUUGCGUCAUGUUUAUGUGUGUGCGUGUUUGUGCGUGUGUUUGUGCGCAAUGCAAUCUAUCCCUUUCGGCGACUGACUUGUAAGACCAAAGAUUGAAACAGUAAUGUCGCUUUAUCUUACCACAACACCACCGAACAACAACAACAACAACAACAACAAUAGCUGCUACUACUACUACUACUACUACUACUACUACUACUACUACUACUACUACUACGACGACGACGACGACGACGACGACGACGACGACGACGGAACGUGGGAGAAAUUAUCCAGCCGCUCGACCUGCUAGAAACGGCUGUCAAAUUACCUUGAAAUUACACCGUGAAAUCUUGGGGGGAGGAGCAAAAAAAAACUCGAUGGAGUUGUCACGGCUGUAAUGAAUGCGUUGGAUAAUAGGCGUUUACUGGAUCGGGGCUAACCUUGGGUUAAAAAAAUAAAAACACAUCAUCAACAACCACCACUACUACUACUACUACGACUACUACUACUACCACUACUACUAUUACUACUACUAGAGUUACAUCCAAAGCAACAGCGGCGAAGAAGAAGGUGGUUGGUUUGUUGGUUGGUCAACAAUUCUCUUCUGAUGGGAUAAGAAAAAGAAAAAGAAACAAAGAAGCAGGAAAGAAAACAAAAAAGACGAUAAAGAAAAGCAAAACAACGUUAACAACGAGAACUGGAACAACAACAACAACAACAUCCAGGCUUAUAUCAAUCGUAUUUUAUAAUCGCUACGAAAUCUUUCUCCUCUCUUUUCCUCCUCUCCCCUCCCCUCUCUUUCUGUUAUUAUAUAUAUAUAUAUAUAUAUAUCACUUGUUCUUUCUAUCUCUCUCUCUCUCUUUCUCUCUCUGUAAUUCUCUGUCCUGUGUUUUUUUUGUCCGACCUAAACAAACCUUAAUCUCUUUCUCUGUUACACAUACAUACACGCAUACACAUACAUACACGCAUAUAUAUAUAUAUAAUAGAUUUCAUAUACGUUGAAAUAUGUAUAUAUAACAUGGGUAUAUAUACAUACAUAUAUAUAUAUAUAUGCUGUACAUAUGCGUAUAUAUGUAUGUGUAUGUUAUCUAUCUAUCUAUCUAUCUAUCUAUCUAUCUAUCUAUCUAUCUAUCUAUCUGUCUGUCUGUCUGUCCGUCUAUCUGUCUGUAUGUAUCUUUAUCUAUCUAUCUGUCUAUCUGUCUAUCUGUCUCUCUCUCUCUCUCUCUCUCUAUCUAUCUAUCUAUCUCUCUAUCGCAUCUGUUCUUUCGUUCUUUCUAUCUGUUAUUCAUCCGUUUCGUGUCUACGAAUUCUAUCUGGUACCAUUUCACAAACGAAAACAAAAACAAAACCGAACCUACCUACCUACCUACCCAUCCUCCUCCCACAAACCACAGCCUGCUCCCACGCAAUAAACCCAACGAAUUUUGGCAAAGGAACGAACUUUUAAAACUAACCAAGAACCAAAAUGAUUUUGAAACAAUCAUCGAAACACGACCCACUCUUUCCCUUGCUGCUUUCUUCUCGAAGAGAAAAGAAAAAGAAAAAGAAGAAUGAAGGAAUCAAAAACAAGCAAGAAGAAAAGAAAAGAACGAUAAACAUGCGAGUACUUGUCGCUGGACUGGGUGGGGCAUACCGUGUGACCACCUCCAAGUGUACCGGCAGACGAUCAUAUCGACUCCAUUUUUUUUAGAGUCCGAUCAGACAAGACGACAACACUAAUACAGAACAGCUAAAGAAAGGAAAAUCUGUUAAAACAGCCUUGAUCGAUUACCAGGAAAUUGCUUGUGGAAAUCGAAGUUGAAUGCCGAUAGACAUUCCGAAGUCUGCAUUAGAAAUCUUAUCAAAAGAUCAAUAUCUGUAUUUUAUUGAUAUGAACAGGUUUGUAUGAACAAGUGUGUGUAUGUGCUUGUGUGGGUUUGAGAGUGUGUGUGUGUGUAUGUAUGUGCAUGUGUACAUACAUAUAUGCACGUGUGCAUCCACACACAUACACACGCAUACACACACGCAAAUACAUAUGUGCACAUGUGUUUGAAUUUAAAACUAGAGAAUAAAUACUCAAAAGAUUUAGCCGAGUUAUAUAUAUUUUGCAGGUAAGCAAUAUAUAGCUGACCCUGGGAUGAUAAAACGCUUAGUGAGCCCUAAGGAAAGUUUGAACACAGUCUAUCGCCUUGCUUUGCUGUAGCACACACACACACACACGCAUACACACACACACACAUACACAUGCGCACACACACACAAUAGUUAUAAUUUCAUAAGUCCUCCAUAAUCAUUUUCCGUCCAGUAGAUUGACUUCAUUGGCAUAAGAUGUGGAUUCUCACCAUUAUUAUAGAUCACUGCCAAAAUAUGUGGAUGCUUUUGAUUGGCUAAAGUUUUAAAGCACAAGGCCCGAAACUUUUGGGGAGGGGGUCAGUAGAUUAGAUCAAUCCCAGUACGCAACUGGUACUUAAUUUUAUCAUCCCCGAAAGGAUGAAAGGCAAAGUCGACCUCGGCAGAAUUUGAACUCAGAAAAUAAAGACAAAUUUUUUCUUUAUUAAUACUAAAAAAAAAAAUGAUUUGUGUGUGUGUGUGUGUGUGUAUUUGUGUGUCUGUGUUUUCCCCCGUCUCCACACUUGUACUGCGUGACAACCGGUGUUGAUGUGUUUGCAUUCCCGUAACUUAGGGGUUCUGAAAAACAGAGCGAUAGAAUUAGUACCAAACUUAAAAAAAUAAAAAUAAAAGUACUGGGGGUUGAUUCAUUCGACUAAAAUUUUUCAAGGUGAUGCCCCUGCAUGGCUGUAGUAUAAUGACUGAAACAAGUAAAAUAUGAAAGAUUGAGGGAAAAGAAAAAACAAAAUUUUUAAGCAUUCGCUCGUUACAAGGUCCUUAGGCCACUGGAAACAUAAAAGUUACUAGAAUAAAAUGGACGCUAGAUAGAAGUCAAUAUGUGACGGUGUACAUUAGACUUAAAAGACUGGAGGUCAUAUUGAAGAGGAAAACAAGACUGUAGAAAGGAAUUCCGAAGUUCAGAGGUGCAAGCGAAGAAAACUGGUACUGUAAAGUGCUUUAUGACACUUAGGAGGUUGCACAGUAUACUGGUGAGAAUUGGAUGCAAGUCUAGUUGAUCGCUAAGUUCUUAAAGGAGGAACCAGAGAAGAGAGCUCAGCUGAACAAUGUCCAUAAAAAUACUUAUAGAAAAGAGACAAACAAGUCACUUGACGACGAUAAAUAGAAGAUAAAUCGGGACCAAUAGCAUUACAAAUACGGCGUUGAAUACGGUCCAACAGAGUUAAACAAUCCACAGGAUGAGAAGUGAAGAACAUAAAGGAAUAUAAAUAUUGACGGCUUAGAGAGGAAAUGAGGAAAAUUUCAUUCAGUAAAAUACUUCUGUCUGUCGGGAGACAGACGGGCCAGAAGCAGACCUAGAGCAAAAAGAGGAAAAAAGAAAGAAAAACAUUGAUGAGUCUCGCGAAUGGUGACGAAAGAAUUUGGGGAAAAUCUAGCUGUUUGACUUCAUUAUCUGAAAGACUAUUCAAACAAUCGAUCAGUUAAUUGUUUAAAUGGUUAAACAACGACUAAGGAAAAUAAGUAACUGCGUGGUAAGAACUUUGCUUCCGAACAAUAUUGUUCCACUUUCAGGACAAGACAACCCGGAACCAUAUGGUUGAUAAGCAAGCUCCUUACCACACAGCCACUCCUGCACCUAUGUGCAUGUAUGUAUAUAUAUAUAUAUAUA